rnacentral:rRNA from 1 species
UACGUAGGGUGCAAGCGUUGUCCGGAAUUAUUGGGCGUAAAGAGCUCGUAGGCGGUUUGUCGCGUCUGCUGUGAAAACUCAGGGCUUAACCCUGAGCCUGCUUCCGAUACGGGCAGACUAGAGGUAUGCAGGGGAGAAUGGAAUUCCUGGUGUAGCGGUGAAAUGCGCAGAUAUCAGGAGGAACACCGGUGGCGAAGGCGGUUCUCUGGGCAUUACCUGACGCUGAGGAGCGAAAGUGUGGGGAGCGAACAGG